rnacentral:rRNA from 1 species
GACAGAGGGUGCAAACGUUGCUCGGAAUUACUGGGCGUAAAGCGCGUGUAGGCGGAUCGGAAAGUCGGGCGUGAAAGCCCCAGGCUCAACCUGGGAACUGCACCCGAAACUCCCGGUCUUGAGUGGUGGAGAGGGAAGUGGAAUUCCUGGUGUAGAGGUGAAAUUCGUAGAUAUCGGGAGGAACACCAGUGGCGAAGGCGGCUUCCUGGACACCAACUGACGCUGAGGCGCGAAAGCGUGGGUAGCAAACAGG